rnacentral:rRNA from 1 species
UAGAGGAAGUAAAAGUCGUAACAAGGUUUCCGUAGGUGAACCUGCGGAAGGAUCAUUACUGAAUUGUCGACACGAGUUGUUGCUGGUCCUCUAAUGGGGGCACGUGCACGCUCUGUUAACACAUCCACUCACACCUGUGCACCCUCUGUAGUUCUGUGGCUUGGGGGACUCUGUCCCCCUGCUGUGGUUCUAUAUCUUUACACACACUCUGUAAUAAAGUCUCAUGGAAUGCAUACCGCGUUUAACGCAAUACAAUACAACUUUCAGCAACGGAUCUCUUGGCUCUCGCAUCGAUGAAGAACGCAGCGAAAUGCGAUAAGUAAUGUGAAUUGCAGAAUUCAGUGAAUCAUCGAAUCUUUGAACGCACCUUGCGCCCUUUGGCUAUUCCGAAGGGCAUGCCUGUUUGAGUAUCAUGAACACCUCAACUCUCAUGGUUUGCCAUGAAGAGCUUGGACUUUGGGGGUCUUGCUGGCCUAUGGUCGGCUCCUCUCAAAUGAAUCAGCUUUCCAGUGUUUGGUGGCGUCACGGGUGUGAUAACUAUCUACGCUUGUGGUGUUCUGCCAGGUAACCUUCAGCAAUGGGGGUUCGCUGGAGCUCMUAAACGUCUCCAUGGUGGGGACAGCUUUGUGAAUGUUUGAUCUCAAAUCAGGUAGGACUACCCGCUGAACUUAAGCAUAUCAAU